UAUUAUGACCUCACCCAAACCAAGAGGAGUAAUAUCCGACUGAAUGACCAACUGGUCCCCAAACCAACAGACAUUGACAUGAGUAAGAAGAUGAUUAAAGUCGAUAUUCCAAGAGAGCAUCCCUACAGCUCCCAUAUCUCCCGGUAUCCCGCAAUAUUUCCAUCAUACCGAUCCCCAGUACAGCCCUCCAGUGCUUCUGCUCCUGUUCUCGUGUGGCGGCAUCAUCAAAGAACAAAAAUAUAAACAAAAUAAAUGCUGAAUAACAAAAUUAAAUAAAAAUGCUUUUUGUGCAUUUU